rnacentral:rRNA from 1 species
UACAGAGGGUGCGAGCGUUGUUCGGAAUUAUUGGGCGUAAAGGGCGCGUAGGCGGUGCGGUAAGUCACCUGUGAAAUCUCCUGGCUCAACUGGGGAGCUUGCAGGCGAAACUGCCGUGCUGGAGUGUGGGAGAGGCGAGUGGAAUUCCUGGUGUAGCGGUGAAAUGCGCAGAUAUCAGGAGGAACACCAAUGGCGAAGGCAGCUCGCUGGGACGGUACUGACGCUGAGGCGCGAAAGCGUGGGGAGCAAACAGG